UGCAAAUUCAGAUCAUGAAAGAUUAUUUUUUGAGAUUUUCAAUAGCAUUUUCUUUAAUAAAAAACAUUUUAAAAGCAUUUUUUCUCUCAAAUUUGUAAUCCAGAUACAAGGUAUGAACAUGAGGCUGAAAGGUGCAUUUUUCUGUUUUCAUAGUUCUAAAAUUAACAUGGAAAUAAACAUUUCUUUCAUAAAAACAUUCACAUAACAGGCCAAACUAACAUUUUGAAAAGCCUAUUCAGAUGGCUGGAAAGGCUAAACCUCAAAGACACGCAUUUUAACAUGUAAUUAUGCAUAUAUGAAAAUCAAGGCUAGAUUUAUGACAAUUGUUAGCCAGAAUAUUGAUGAAUAACCGCUGUUUUGCAAAGAAAGAUGAUUUUACUUCAGGUGGUACCCAACACCUUGACUUAAAUUAAUUUGGCUCGUUUAUUUUUCAUAAAAUUUUGACAAAAUGUUUUAAUUGAUCCUUUGACAAAAAUAUAUUUUUUUUAAAAUUUGAACCAACAUGACCAACCACUUUAUAAGAAAGAUUUCAUUUGUAAUAUAACAGUUUGACAAACACUGAUUUUGAUCAUCGAGAAGCUUAAUAUUUCCUAAACAAUACAAUGUGAUUAAAACGUUUAGCUGAUUUUUACAGAGUUAUCUCCCUGUAGUGUUAGGUACCACCUUAAGGUAACAAGACAUUUGUACAUUUAUUUUAGUUGAAUUUAUUAUACAUUUUUAGAAUGAUAUUUUCAAUAGUCUAUUUGCCCAUUACCAAUUUGAUUAUGUUAUUCAGUUAUUACACACCUUUAACACAAGUUGUUCCCCUUUGUUUAUCAUAGACUGCUUCUAUACCGGAUAAAAUGGUCUACUGCAAUUGGUCAUUUCAGAAUCUAGAGCAUCAUGGGUAAUUUCAUUAUUCUUACCCCAAAAUGAAAAUAACUUCACGUCAUUGGUUAAAUUUCCAUUGUUUAUGACAUUUUUAACCAAUCGGGACGUUUUGGUGUACACUUUUGAAAAUAUUACCAAGGAUGCAUUAGUUUCUGAAACGGCAAAUUGGAAAGCAUGAUACAUUGAAUGGGAUAAAACUGUUGAUAUCGAAAGUGUUUAGCUUGAUGAUGAUUGAUUACAUGUUAUUGAUAAAAUUGAGAAUGGAAAUGGGGAAUGUGUCAAUGAGACAACAACCCGAGCAGAAAAAAAAAACAACUGCAGAAAACAGUCCCAUGUCCAACAAUUAACCCUAAACACAAAUGUGUACUUUUUCAGUUGGAAAGGAAGAAAUGUGUUCUAUUUCAGUUGCAAAUGAAGUCACACUAAACAUACUUAACUCAGAAACAUGUAAAUGAAAUGAAUUUAAAAAUCAUACAAGAUUAACAAAGGCAUCAAUAAAUUUGCCUUUUCUGUAAGCUUUAAAAUAGAAGCAUUUUCCCUGCUAAGGAAAACAUCUUGUAGAAAUCUAAGUAUAAGCAAAUAGACUAUUAUGUAAGGUUAUUUACCAUGGUUUGUUUCUCACGUUUCUAAGACGGGUUUAAAAUGGAGAAAUGUUAUUCUAAAUAUAUGUUUUCAGUAGAAAUAUAUAUAUCAUUAUUCAAAUAAAAUGAUGUGAAUAUUUUUUUAAUAAAAUACACAAGAUGCCAAAAUUCUCUUCCAACAUGUGCAAUGUCAGUUUUUUUUCCCAAAUCGGUGUUUUAGAAAUGUAUUUUUAUUUCUGCAGUUUUAAUGUGUCUGUUUUAUUUAAUCAUGUUAAUGAAGGAAACAUUUCUUUUUUGGUUUGUCGUCAUUGGC
rnacentral:lncRNA from 1 species